rnacentral:tRNA from 1 species
UAGGAUAUUAAUUUAAUAUAAAAUAUUUAAAUUGCAUUUAAAAAUUGAUUUUUUAAUCAUAUCUUAA